GUUUAAUAGUCCUUACCACGGGUACUUCCCGUUUGAGUUUCAGCCUAUGGGAAGGGAGGAGCAGCAUGGAGGCAUGGUCUGAUAAACAUACACCCACCCACACGAUCUCUCUGGCCUGCCUGACCCCUCCAGUCGUGGAAGGGUUGGCCAUGACAGUGCUGUAAUCCCUCCCAGCUGAGGUUCAUCCUCGAUGGGCUACAUCUCCAGCUACGCCUGGGAGGAUGGAACUGUGUGUGUGUGUGUGUGUGUGUGUGUGUGUGUGUGUGUGUGUCUGUAAGCUGUACGUGUGUAUUUGUCUGUGAGCGAGCCUGCGUUGGUGCGUGUGUGUGUCUGUUCAAGCAGUGGAGCGUGUUUGCCCUGGGGCUAAUUAAUAAUUCAUGAGGUGGGCAUGGAGAAGGCAAGGGGGCAGUGGCAGAUGGAGGAGCUGUGUGUGUGUGUGUGUGUGUGUGUGUGUGUGUGUGUGUGUGGAACGAGUCAGAGCUAGUUGGACAGAGAGAGAGAGUGAAACAGUAUUUCACCUGGUCAGGAAACCGUCUCCAAAAGAGGUCCGAGCCGUAUCAGGAGCCAACCAGGAGUUGUGACAGGAGAGGAGAGCCAAUCAGAGGAGAGAGAUGUUGGUGCAGGGCGGGCCUUGGGUCCUGUCUGUCAUGUUGUUGCUCCUGCUGCUAUGGCAAGAAGUGUCUGCUAUUGAGGUUCCUCUUGAUCAAAAGAUCCAGCAGGAUUGUAAGUAUUAUUUAUUAACACAGUCAUAUUUUGUAUUGUGUCUACUGUGUCUAUUUUCUGUUGUGUCUGUUGUCUUCACUCUUAGGGAAAAAAUGGUUAUUCAAAGGGUUCUAUGGGGACAGCGGAAGAACACUUAUUGGUUCUAAAUAGCACUUUUUCUUCUUAGAGUGUAUUGUGUCUGCUGUAAUACUCAAUCAUGUUUCUACAUUGUCUCUAUGGGGGAUGAAAAUACCAAUUUAAACCCACAUUUAAAGCAGUAAAUGAUAUAAUGGUGUAGUACUAGGAGCUAGGGCUGUUGCGGUGACUGUAUUGCCGCCAAUAUGGUCAUUAGAUGGUCAUUAGUAGCUUACCAAACUUGCUAACUGCUGGGUACUCAGCACUCUAGAAGCACUCAGCACUCUGACAUAAAAUCUAAUUUUAUUGGUCACAUACACAUGGUCAGCAGAUGUUAAUGCGAGUGUAGCGAAAUGCUUGUGCUUCUAGUUCCGACAGUGCAGUAAUAUCUAACAAGUAAUCUAACAAUUCCCAACAACUACCUAAUACACACAAAUCUAAAGGGGGGUGAAUGAAAAUAUGUACAUAUAAAUAUAUGGAUGAGCGAUGGCCGAGCGGAAUAGGCAAUGUGCAGUAGGUGGUAUAAAAUACAGUAUAUACAUGUGAUAUGAGUAAUGUAAGAUAUGUAGACAUUAUUAAAGUGUGCAGUAGGUGGUAUAAAAUACACUAUAUACAUGUGAUAUGAGUAAUGUAAGAUAUGUAGCCAUUAUUAAAGUGUGCAGUGAUUGGGUCUCAAUACACUAUGUACAUGUGAUAUGAGUAAUGUAAGAUAUGUAGCCAUUAUUAAAGUGUGC
rnacentral:lncRNA from 1 species